GAAAAACCUCUAGCGAGCUAUGCGCCGCCCGUACCCCAAACCGACUCAGGUGAUCAGGUAGAGAAUACCAAGGCGAUCGAGUGAACCAUGGUUAAGGAACUCGGCAAAAUGCCCCCGUAACUUCGGGAGAAGGGGGGCCGGAUUCGUGAGUGGACUUGCUCCACAAAGCGUUGAUGGCCGCAGAGACCAGGCCCAAGCGACUGUUUACUAAAAACACAGGUCCGUGCUAAGUCGUAAGACGAUGUAUACGGACUGACUCCUGCCCGGUGCUGGAAGGUUAAGGGGACCGGUUAGACGUAAGUCGAAGCUGAGAACUUAAGCCCCAGUAAACGGCGGUGGUAACUAUAACCAUCCUAAGGUAGCGAAAUUCCUUGUCGGGUAAGUUCCGACCUGCACGAAUGGAGUAACGACUUGGGCGCUGUCUCAACCGUGGACUCGGCGAAAUUGCACUACGAGUAAAGAUGCUCGUUACGCGCGGCAGGACGGAAAGACCCCGGGACCUUUACUAUAGUUUGGUAUUGGUGUUUGGUUCGGCUUGUGUAGGAUAGGUGGGAGACUGUGAAGCAUUAACGCCAGUUAGUGUGGAGUCAACGUUGAAAUACCACUCUGGUCGUACUAGAUGUCUAACCUAGGUCCAUUAUCUGGAUCAGGGACAGUGCCUGAUGGGUAGUUUAACUGGGGCGGUUGCCUCCUAAAAUGUAACGGAGGCGCUCAAAGGUUCCCUCAGCCUGGUUGGCAAUCAGGUUUCGAGUGUAAGUGCACAAGGGAGCUUGACUGUGAGAGUGACAGCUCGAGCAGGGACGAAAGUCGGAACUAGUGAUCCGGCGCUGGCAUGUGGAAGCGGCGUCGCUCAACGGAUAAAAGGUACCCCGGGGAUAACAGGCUGAUCUUCCCCAAGAGUCCAUAUCGACGGGAUGGUUUGGCACCUCGAUGUCGGCUCGUCGCAUCCUGGGGCUGGAGUAGGUCCCAAGGGUUGGGCUGUUCGCCCAUUAAAGCGGCACGCGAGCUGGGUUUAGAACGUCGUGAGACAGUUCGGUCCCUAUCCGCCGCGCGCGCAGGAAACUUGAGAAAGGCUGUCCCUAGUACGAGAGGACCGGGAUGGACGAACCUCUGGUGUGCCAGUUGUUCCGCCAGGAGCACGGCUGGUUGGCUACGUUCGGAAGUGAUAACCGCUGAAUGCAUCUAAGCGGGAAGCACGUUUCAAGAUGAGGUUUCCCACCGGGUUAACCGGGUAAGGCCCCCAGUAGAUGACUGGGUUGAUAGGCCGGAGGUGUACAGCAGUAAUGCCCAGCCGACCGGUACUAAUAGGCCGAGGGCUUGUCCCUCAA
rnacentral:rRNA from 1 species